UAGUUUAAGAUUAUGAACAAACAUUGUGAGAGGUGUUAUCACACGCCUAGUGGGAAAUUAACACGAAACGCGUUUCCAACUUUAAUCACAGUUGCACACCAGGCGUUUAACCAACCAUUACUUGUAGAUGACUCAUUAUUAACAGAAUCUUCAAUUAUUGAU